GGCCGGGUGGUGUAGUGGUAACACACUUGCUCUCUCUAAACUGAAGGAUAUCUGAGGCAGGAGUCCCUUGUUUGAAUCAAGGCCAGGCCG